CUAUUUCUCUGUUUCGACGGUCCCUAGCUCCGCCGCCAUCUGCGGCAUGCCGCGAUGCGCCGCGGACGCGAGCCACCCAAGGUCCCAGUAGCUCGAGCUCCCCACGGCACAUGGCAGUGCCUUGUCGUCACCUCUGAGCAGCGCCUGCUCAAGGUAGCCUGUGCCGUCCCACCGCCUGUUGCCCGGCGCAUUGGCUGCCACGCCUUCGCGCAGCGCACGGCCUACCUCAAGGAGGGGCAUGGACGAGGAGCGCGAACGGGAGCUCCUGAUUUGGUGGGGGUGGUGCCAUGGCCGACUCCUCGGAUGAGGCGACACACAUUCUGCAUAUCAUGCUUGAUUAGUGGUCGAUUUGGAAGCUGAAUGAACCAAAUCACUUCAACACUUGACAGAUCGAGUAACAUUGCCAAGAAGCAAACAAUAAAAUAAGAUGUGUGCUGCUCUGCGAUAUUGGAUUGAUACACGGAGAACCCUGAACCCUAGGCUUGUCACUGGAAGGUAUAUAAUUUUCUACUGGUACCCUCCCUAUUUGAAGUGGGUGUGGAUUUGAGGAGAAGGUAUGGAUACCCAGUAGCAGGCCUACUGGUGCCGCAGGGACAGCCUUGCUUCUUCUUCUUGAUAGCAGUAGAGUUCAACUGUUCAAGAUGAUCUAGGAAGGCAUAUCAGCUGGCUCAUGUUGACUGCUGCUUUGAGUUCCUGGAUUCUUUCAAAUUGGCCUCCAAAGUGAAAUCUCACAGAAACUUGACGACACAACAGGGAGGCAAGGAUGAAACCUAAUGACGAGCGAGAGGAGGGCAACGCACGAGGCGAUGGUCCGUGGAUCUAAAGGUACUUGCCAUGUAGGAUGGCUGAUGUGUCAAUACAGUCAUCAAAACUGGUUUUCCAAACCCGCUAAAUCCGCGAAUAUGGUUUUACAUGUGGUCAAAAGGUGAAGUUUGAACUGGUUUUGUAAAUACAGGAGGUUAAAUAAACCUUUUGUUUCUUUAGGAGGUUAUUUGGACCUAGCUUGUACUUGGGGUAGUAAAUUGGACUUUUUUCUAUACAAAAUGUAAGCAAAAAAUUGCAUCGUAGUCAACUCUAGGCCAGCUGAACACUGAUUAGUUAUUUCUAGUCUAUCAACCGAUACUUCUACAC